rnacentral:tRNA from 1 species
GGUCUCGUAGCUUAGCUCGUAAAGCCUGCUCGUACAAAGUGUAGGCGGCAUCCAUGUGUGGGUUCGAAUCCCACCGAGGCUA